UGUAGAGGAAGAAGAGCUGAGAUUCAAAAAAACAGAGACAUCUUCUCUCUCUCUUCUUUCUCUCUUCUUCUUUUUAAUUUGUUUUGAUUUUUUUGAUUUUAUUUUAGUUUUAUUUGGGUUGGGAAUUAUGGGGACGGAGAUCUUGAGGCCUCAGGACUGUUUGAUCGAGCGGAUGGGGGUCUCUCCGGCGGUUUUUCCUCGCCGUAAGGCUUUCCCCGGAAGCGCAAAGGCGAACCGGAGACCGGUGGUUCGGGCUGAGAGGUCGGACCAGAAGAGGCGGGGGAGUCAGUCGGAGGGGUCCAUUUCUAAGAGAUCGAGCUCCGAUGAUGUCAGGGCCGCGAAGGGGAAUGUUGUGGUGGGCCCGGUGACGAUUCUCAGGCGAGGGGAGUCGCUUGACUCGAAAUUAAAGAGCGAGGCUCUGAAGAAGAACGGCGAGGAGGAAAUGAUAGUUUCUGGAACCGAGAGGUUGGGCCCGGACCCGGAGAUGGUGCCGAAGCAGAUCCGCAUCAAGGAUCUGAAGCCGUUUGCUUUUUCGGUGGCCGCUAAGCCCGACAUGUACGCUGGAUCUGCGUUUGCGCUCUCGCCGUCGCCGAGCUCGCUUCCGUUACCAUCUUUUUCGAGGAAGAAGCAGAUGUCGCCCGUCGUGGACGACUGGGCAACGAAAGAUCUCCGGCGACUGCUCCGGCUCGAUUGACAAAUUAAGUGGUCAAACUAUUACAGAUCCAGAUCUCUAUGCCCGGAUUUGGACCUAGAACUAUCGGGAUCUGAAUUAACCUCGUUUCGUCUCACCGCCGCGUCUUUCACGAAUCAAAGAUCCAUUUUUC
rnacentral:lncRNA from 1 species